CGGGUGAGUAACACGUAUCCAACCUGCCGUCUACUCUUGGCCAGCCUUCUGAAAGGAAGAUUAAUCCAGGAUGGGAUCAUGAGUUCACAUGUCCGCAUGAUUAAAGGUAUUUUCCGGUAGACGAUGGGGAUGCGUUCCAUUAGAUAGUAGGCGGGGUAACGGCCCACCUAGUCAACGAUGGAUAGGAGUUCUGAGAGGAAGGUCCCCCACAUUGGAACUGAGACACGGUCCAA
rnacentral:rRNA from 1 species